rnacentral:rRNA from 1 species
GACGAACGCUGGCGGCGUGCUUAACACAUGCAAGUCGAACGGAAAGGCCCUGCUUUUGUGGGGUGCUCGAGUAGCGAACGGGUGAGUAACACGUGAGUAACCUGCCCUUGACUUUGGGAUAACUUCAGGAAACUGGGGCUAAUACCGGAUAGGAGCUCCUGCUGCAUGGUGGGGGUUGGAAAGUUUCGGCGGUUGGGGAUGGACUCGCGGCUUAUCAGCUUGUUGGUGGGGUAGUGGCUUACCAAGGCUUUGACGGGUAGCCGGCCUGAGAGGGUGACCGGCCACAUUGGGACUGAGAUAUGGCCCAGACUCCUACGGGAGGCAGCAGUGGGGAAUAUUGCACAAUGGGCGGAAGCCUGAUGCAGCAACGCCGCGUGCGGGAUGACGGCCUUCGGGUUGUAAACCGCUUUCGCCUGUGACGAAGCGUGAGUGACGGAAAUGGGUAAAGAAGCACCGGCUAACUACG